rnacentral:rRNA from 1 species
GAUGAACGCUGGCGGCGUGCCUAACACAUGCAAGUCGAACGGAGUUCUUAAGGAAUGCGACUUCGGUCAAAUGACUUUUGAACUUAGUGGCGGACGGGUGAGUAACGCGUGAGCAACCUGCCUUUCAGAGGGGGAUAACAUUUGGAAAGAAUGCUAAUACCGCAUAAAGUGCACAGUUGGCAUCGACAGUGCACCAAAGGNGUAAUCCGCUGAAAGAUGAGCUCGCGUCCGAUUAGAUAGUUGGCGGGGUAACGGCCCACCAAGUCGACGAUCGGUAGCCGGACUGAGAGGUUGAACGGCCACAUUGGGACUGAGACACGGCCCAGACUCCUACGGGAGGCAGCAGUGGGGAAUAUUGCACAAUGGGCGAAAGCCUGAUGCAGCAACGCCGCGUGACGGGAAGACGGUCUUCGGAUUGUAAACCUUUGCCUUGGUGACGAAAAGAUGACGGUAGCCGAGGAGGAAGCCACGGGCUAACUACGUGCCAGCAG